UACGAAAGUGCGACGGGGGGAUCCCAAGUGUUAUGCUUUUUUGUAUGACUUUUCAUUAGUGUAAAAAGCUUUUAGAAUAAGAGCUGGGCAAGACCGGUGCCAGCCGCCGCGGUAACACCGGCAGCUCGAGUGGUAGCUGUUUUUAUUGGGCCUAAAGCGUUCGUAGCCGGUUUGAUAAGUCUUUGGUGAAAGCUUGUAGCUUAACUAUAAGAAUUGCUGGAGAUACUAUUAGACUUGAAGUCGGGAGAGGUUAGAGGUACUACCGGGGUAGGGGUGAAAUCCUAUAAUCCUGGGAGGACCACCUGUGGCGAAGGCGUCUAACUGGAACGAUCUUGACGGUGAGUAACGAAAGCCAGGGGCGCGAACCGGAUUAGAUACCCGGGUAGUCCUGGCCGUAAACGAUGUGGACUUGGUGUUGGAAUGGCUUUGAGUUGUUCCGGUGCCGAAGGGAAGCUGUUAAGUCCACCGCCUGGGAAGUACGGUCGCAAGACUGAAACUUAA
rnacentral:rRNA from 1 species